UACGAAGGGGGCUAGCGUUGCUCGGAAUCACUGGGCGUAAAGGGUGCGUAGGCGGGUCUUUAAGUCAGGGGUGAAAGCCCGGGGCUCAACUCCGGAAUUGCCUUUAAGACUGCAUCGCUAGAAUUGUGGAGAGGUGAGUGGAAUUCCGAGUGUAGAGGUGAAAUUCGUAGAUAUCGAGAGGAACACCUGCGGCGAAGGCGGGUUGCUGGGCUGACACUGACGCUGAGGCGCGAAAGCCAGGGGAGCGAACGGG
rnacentral:rRNA from 1 species